CUUCCUAAACUCACAAUUUAUUUUUACUUCGCACAGAUAUUUUGCAUGGAUAUUAGGAAGUGAAACGUCCACAUUAUGAUCUCUACAGCAGAGCGGGCGCUGGAGAAUUUUCUGUCAACCCAUGGAUAAAUUGCGUCUAACCCACAGCCUCCUUGCAACAUAAUCGUUACAAUAAGCUGAAGCAGUUAUGGUGCUGGGAGUAUCCCCUUAACCAGUAUAUCUGGGUAUAGGGACAAUUAUUACCCAACAUACCACUUAUCUCUUUAA